CAGGGGCUGAUGGAGCUUUGUCCCUAGGGGUGCCCAUGUGGCACCUGCAGGACUAAAGCACAGAGAAACUGGAUGAGAUCUGCAGUGCGCGGAGUCACAGUCUAUCCCUUGGAACAAACUGGGCUGGAAGAGGACCAGGAUGCUGCACUGGCACUGCCAUGGCUUCAUGUUUUCCAGUAGAUAUUUCAGCAUUUCAAUUAUUUGCCUGUGAAGGUGUGGAAAGACCAGAGGAGGGCAGGCAGAGUCUGGGAUGGAAAAAAGCAGCAGCUACAAAGAGAUGCUUAAAAUAUGUCAGAGAAAUCAAUAAUCCAAAUGAA